UACAGAGGGUGCGAGCGUUAAUCAGAAUUACUGGGCGUAAAGCGCACGUAGUCGGCUUUGCAAGUCGGGUGUGAAAUCCCCGGGCUCAACCUGGGAACUGCAUCCGAGACUGCAUUGCUAGAGUAUGGGAGAGGGAAGCGGAAUUUCUGGUGUAGCAGUGAAAUGCGUAGAUAUCAGAAGGAACAUCAGUGGCGAAGGCGGCUUCCUGGACCAAUACUGACGAUCAGGUGCGAAAGCGUGGGGAGCAAACAGG
rnacentral:rRNA from 1 species